UUAAAGCGUAAAGCUUAUACUACUCAUGAAAAAUUCUUAAACUAAACAUGACCCCAAAUUAAUUAUUGAAUGACCCCAUAAAAAUAUGGACUCCAUUAUGUUAGAACUAGUAACUAGAAUCAAUAAUUCUCCAAAAUGUAAACAUAAACCAACAUGGAUAGCCCACUGGUAAUUAACGAAAAUGAAUAAAAUACAGUAACCGCCCACGAAAAAUAUGUAAUACCAACCGUCAACCUUACACCAGAACAUUAAUGGAAAGAUUAAAAGAAGGAGAAGGAACUCGGCAAACCCCGACCCCGCCUGUUUACCAAAAACAUCGCCUCUUGCUUAAUAUAAGAGGUCCAGCCUGCCCAGUGAAAAUUUAACGGCCGCGGUACCCUGACCGCGCGAAGGUAGCAUAAUCACUCGUUCUUUAAAUAGGGACUUGUAUCAAUGGCAUCACGAGGGUCGCACUGUCUCCUCCCUCUAAUCAGUGAACCUGAUCUCUCCGUGAAGAAGCGGGGAUAAGAAUAUAAGACGAGAAGACCCCAUGGAGCUUUAAACCCAAAGCAAUUUAAUCAAAUAAAUCCCCAUAUAAUUUAAAUAUGUAUAACGGUUUUAGGUUGGGGUGACCGCGGGGCAAAAAAAAACCCCCACAACGAAAAGAAAUAAAUCUUUAUUUAAGAGCUACUACUCUAAGAAUUAGCAUACUAACGAAUAAUGACCCGACAAUCGAUCAAUGGACCAAGUUACCCUGGGGAUAACAGCGCAAUCUACUUCAAGAGCCCAUAUCGACAAGUAGGCUUACGACCUCGAUGUUGGAUCAGGGUAUCCCAGUGGUGCAACCGCUACUAAUGGUUCGUUUGUUCACGAUUAAAACC
rnacentral:rRNA from 1 species